GAUGAACGCUAGCUACAGGCUUAACACAUGCAAGUCGAGGGGAAACGACAUCGAAAGCUUGCUUUUGAUGGGCGUCGACCGGCGCACGGGUGAGUAACGCGUAUCCAACCUGCCCAUCACUUGGGAAUAACCUUGCGAAAGUAAGACUAAUACCCAAUGAUAUCCCACGAAGGCAUCGGAAUGGGAUUAAAGAUUUAUCGGUGAUGGAUGGGGAUGCGUCUGAUUAGCUUGUUGGCGGGGUAACGGCCCACCAAGGCAACGAUCAGUAGGGGUUCUGAGAGGAAGGUCCCCCACAAUGGAACUGAGACACGGUCCAAACUCCUACGGGAGGCAGCAGUGAGGAAUAUUGAUCAAUGGGCGAGAGCCUGAACCAGCCAAGUAGCGUGCAGGAAGACGGCCCUAUGGGUUGUAAACUGCUUUUAUAAGGGAAUAAAGUGGGUCACGUGUGACUUUUUGCAUGUACCUUAUGAAUAAGGACCGGCUAAUUCCGUG
rnacentral:rRNA from 1 species